UGAGAAAAAACUGUCUGGAGGUGUGCCA
rnacentral:piRNA from 1 species